rnacentral:rRNA from 1 species
UACGUAGGGGGCUAGCGUUAUCCGGAUUUACUGGGCGUAAAGGGUGCGUAGGCGGUCUUUCAAGUCAGGAGUGAAAGGCUACGGCUCAACCGUAGUAAGCUCUUGAAACUGUAAGACUUGAGUGCAGGAGAGGAGAGUGGAAUUCCUAGUGUAGCGGUGAAAUGCGUAGAUAUUAGGAGGAACACCCGUGGCGAAGGCGGCUCUCUGGGACGGUACUGACGCUGAGACGCGAAAGCGUGGGGAGCGAACAGG